UAUAUACUUAUUAUAAGUCAUUUAUACAAUACUAUUUAUUAUCAAUAUAAAAAUUUUUAUAAUAUAUUUCUAAAUAUAGUAAUAGAAAAAUUUAAAUAUUAAAAAGUAAAUAUAU
rnacentral:rRNA from 1 species